rnacentral:rRNA from 1 species
AACGAACGCUGGCGGCAGGCCUAACACAUGCAAGUCGAGCGCGCCCUUCGGGGUGAGCGGCGGACGGGUGAGUAACGCGUGGGAACGUGCCCUUUUCUACGGAAUAGCCUCGGGAAACUGAGAGUAAUACCGUAUACGCCCUUUGGGGGAAAGAUUUAUCGGAAAAGGAUCGGCCCGCGUUGGAUUAGGUAGUUGGUGGGGUAAUGGCCUACCAAGCCGACGAUCCAUAGCUGGUUUGAGAGGAUGAUCAGCCACACUGGGACUGAGACACGGCCCAGACUCCUACGGGAGGCAGCAGUGGGGAAUCUUAGACAAUGGGGGCAACCCUGAUCUAGCCAUGCCGCGUGAGUGAUGAAGGCCUUAGGGUUGUGAAGCUCUUUCAGCUGGGAAGAUAAUGACGGUACCAGCAGAAGAAGCCCCGGCUAACUCCGUG